rnacentral:rRNA from 1 species
UACGGAAGGGGCAAGCGUUGUUCGGAAUCACUGGGCGUAAAGGGCGCGCAGGUGGUUCUGUAUGUCUGCCGUGAAAGCAUACAGCUCAACUGUAUUGUGUCGGUAGAAACUGCAGGACUUGAGGCUGGGAGGGGCUGGUGGAAUUCCCUGUGUAGCGGUGAAAUGCGUAGAGAUGGGGGAGAACACUCGUGGCGAAGGCGGCCAGCUAGACCAGUUCUGACGCUGAGGCGCGACAGCGUGGGGAGCAAACAGG